UGCCUGCCUGCCUGCCGCGCUCUGCCCCCUCCUUCCCCGGCGCUCCCCGCCGAAGAAUGUCCGCCAAGUCCAAGGGGACCACCUCCUCCUCCGCCACCUCGUCGUCCGUGUCGUCUCCGGCCGAAGGGCUGCCGGCAGCCUCCAAAGCCAAGGUGAAGGAGCAGAUCAAGAUCAUCGUGGACGAUUUGGAAUUAGUCCUGGGGGACCUGAAGGACGUGGCUAAGGAGCUUAAGGAGGUGGUUGACCAGAUUGACACCCUGACUUCUGACUUGCAGCUGGAGGAUGAGAUGACAGACAGCUCGAAAACGGACACGUUGAACAGCAGCUCAAGUAGCACAACAGCAUCCAGUUUGGAGAAAGUCAAAGUCCGAGCCAACGCGCCGCUCAUCAAGCCCCCGGCCCACCCGUCUGCCAUUCUCACCGUGCUGCGGAAGCCCAACCCACCGCCCCCUCCUCCGCGGCUGACUCCAGUCAGGUGCGAAGACCCUCACAGGCCAGUUAUCCCUGCCAACCCUGUAAAGACUAAUGGGACUCUACUACGAAACGGAGGCUUGCCGGGUGGACCAAAUAAAAUUCCCAACGGGGAUAUAUGUUGUAUACCGAAUAGUAACUUGGACAAAGUCUCGAUGCAACCUCUGAUGCACAGGUCUGAGAAAGACAGGUGUCCGCAGCCUGGAACGCGGGAACGGGUACGGUUUAAUGAAAAAGUCCAGUACCAUGGCUAUUGUGCAGACUGUGACGUUCGGUAUAAUAUUAAAAACAGGGAGGUUCACUUGCACAGCGAACCUGCCCACACGCUGGGAAAGCUUCCUCACCAAUGCCCUCCCUUGCCACCACCCCCUCCUCCGCUUCCUCCUUUUCCGUUAGAAAAUGGAGGGGUGGGAAUAAGCCCCAGUAGUAGCUUUCCUCCUCUCAGACCUGCAACUGUGCCUCCACAAACUGCACCAAAACCCCAGAAGACCAUCUUGAGGAAAUCGACCACUACAACAGUGUGAUGUAUCCCACUUGGAAAACUCUCUUAUUUUUUUUCCUUAUGUAUAAAACAUGAAAAAGCUCCUUCGGGCUAGAAGGAAUGUCAACCUUUGGAGGCAUGUCUAUCAAUUUCUCCCAUGACAGUUUCGACACAGCAACUUCUUUCAGGCCAUAUUUAAUUGUAACAACAGGGAUCCUUCUUAGAGCACGGGAGCCCUUGAGCCAGAGCACAACUGAUCACUGGAGUAAUCUACAUUAAAUCACCGGACUCAUAUCCAACAGCUUUGAGCUGAACCCUAACAAAAGCCACAGCCUUAAGUACCAUUCACUCUGACACAGGAAGAAAAAGGAGUAACAAUCUUACCCCGUCUAAGAAACAGCCAUCUCCAGAUCCUGCUGCAAAUGGAAUUCGAUGCAAAGAAAUUGAGAACAGCCAGUUAGUAAUCACUUGGUCCAGCAAGUGUCCAAUUUUUUUUUAAUUUAAAUAUAUGUAGCUGAAUGAAAGGAUGAAGCACUUAAACGACUCAAGAGCAAUCAGUGCAUUUUGUCCCCAUGAAAGAUUUGUCAUCGUGGGUGGAAAGAGAAGGCCGUUGUUGUCCCUUGUGCAAAUUCAAAGCCAUAGAUGAAGAAAGGACGAAUGCUUCAAAGAAUGCUUGGAAAGGUGUUGUUUCCUGUCCUCUGCCGAAAUAAUUCAGUUGUUACAGAUUGCAUCUCAAUGCACUUCUAAUAUUUGCACUGUCACUUCCAUUCAGGGGAAUGAUGUGUAGGCCAUCAUUUGCACAGAUGGCCUCAUGAAAUUUCUGCCCGGAGGAAGAUGUACCUUGAGGGGCUUCUACAGGAGAUUAAAAGCCCAUCAUCAAAAGUGAAGAAAAGUUAAUGCCCUUCUAUCCCUUCACAUUUGGAAUCUUUCUCACAAGGCAAAUUGUUGCUCCUUAAGCCUGGGAUAUAAUAAAAAAUAAUAGAAAAGGCAUCAACAGGCUAACAUGGAUUUUAGAACAGAUCUAAUUUUUAAUACAUUUUUGUAUCAUGUAACAAAGAAAUUGACCUAUACUGCUCACGUUGACAGUACCCUCCCAUUUA